GGCUCAUUGGCCACAGGGAGUUGUCCCUCAUGAAGCCUACAGUGACACUGAUCAACAUCAGCAGAGGUGGGAAUAAUGUGUUUCCUGUACUAUAGUGUUUAGUGAUCACUGGUUCAGUGUAAUAACAAUUCUUUAUAAACCUCAGGUCUGGUUGUGAACCAGGACGCCUUACUUGCAGCUCUCAAUUCGUGCAGCGGCCUUAGAUGUGACUCAUCCUGAACCUUUACCAAGGUGCUAUGUCUGUGCGUACAAAGUAACACAACAGAAUCACGCGUUCAAGCAGACUCAUGCAGUGCUAUUGUCAUGGUCUGGGUGGGCACCUGCAGGUCUCCGACAGCGGCCCCUCCUCCUUUGGGCGGAGUUCGGUUGCUCCUCCCUGGCUGACCACCUGUGAGCAAUCAUGCCAGCAGUAUAUCAGACCUGCGCUCUCAACCAUUCAUCGCCUGAGUAUCUGCUAUCCCCAUGUCAGUCGAGUGAAGCAUCAUAACUCUGUCAGACGCUGUGUAAUGUCUUACUUGUUUUUCUUGUCCUCAGAGGUAGCACCUGGAGUGGAGAUCUUGUCUCCCUCACUCCCGCCUUCCUGGACCUGGGCCGCCUGCUGCUAACACGACGUGGCCUGCCGGCCCACCGCUCACUUGCCUGCCUCCCCACGCCUCGACCGCUUCCGGGCUUCCGCCCCACCUGUCUCCUCCACCUGAAACCAAUGCCCCGGCCCCUGCCUAAUCCUGUUUCUACCUCCCCGCUGCCUCUGCUGUUCAGCCGUCUCCUAGAGGUGUCUAGGUCACCCUCAUUAUCGUAGAUAAUCCUACGCGCCACGAGUGUGGUGGCGCCGCUUUGCUUUUGCUUUUGUUUGCCUGUGGGCGGAAAUAAAUCAUUUGUUCCCUAC
ensembl:lncRNA